GACGAACGCUGGCGGCGUGCUUAACACAUGCAAGUCGAACGGAAAGGCCCUGCUUGCAGGGUACUCGAGUGGCGAACGGGUGAGUAACACGUGGGUGAUCUGCCCUGCACUUCGGGAUAAGCUUGGGAAACUGGGUCUAAUACCGGAUAGGAGCCAUCUUUAGUGUGGUGGUUGGAAAGUUUUUUCGGUGUAGGAUGAGCUCGCGGCCUAUCAGCUUGUUGGUGGGGUAAUGGCCUACCAAGGCGGCGACGGGUAGCCGGCCUGAGAGGGUGUACGGCCACAUUGGGACUGAGAUACGGCCCAGACUCCUACGGGAGGCAGCAGUGGGGAAUAUUGCACAAUGGGCGCAAGCCUGAUGCAGCGACGCCGCGUGGGGGAUGAAGGCCUUCGGGUUGUAAACUCCUGUCGCUAGGGACGAAGCUUUGUUGUGACGGUACCUAGAUAAGAAGCACCGGCUAACUACGUG
rnacentral:rRNA from 1 species